CAGGACGGCCCUACCAGAUUCAGUGUCUAAUGAAUGGCAGGUGUUAGGAGGCAGGCAGGGGUUUCCUGUGGCAAAUCCUGAUUCACAGCUGGAAGAUGGAUUUCUGCCCUCAGGAAAGCGGUUUAGUGGGAGGUGGUGAGAGUUAGCUGAAAUUUCCAAUAAAAUGCAGUCAGGGCAGUGAGCUAGUGGGCACAGGAGAGCCUCAGUCAGUGGCUCAAUUAUCUUCUAGUAGAACAAUGGAAGAAUUGGCAAUUUUCUUCAUAUUUCAUUUUCCUGACAUGCAGGAUGGUGAAGUGGCGAAGAGCCUGACUCUGGAAAUAGCGAGAAGGGGUUUAAGCUCUGGCUCUGUGUGCAUCUCGGACAAGGAAUGCAAAGCUCACGGAUGCCGAGGAAUUUAUCCAAGAUCACUGUGAUGGGAUGGGAACUUUGGUUUUCAGCCUUUAAAUACAUUGGUGCAGAAGUCCAAGAAAGAUGCUUGGAAAGACCUAGUGGUA
rnacentral:lncRNA from 10 species